GAUAAAACUGUCACGUGUCAUAAU
rnacentral:siRNA from 1 species